rnacentral:rRNA from 1 species
UAACCUACCUCAUAGUGGGGGAUAACAGUCGGAAACGACUGCUAAUACCGCAUAGGACAUGGAAUCACAUGAUUCUGUGAGGAAAGGUGGCGCAAGCUAUCGCUAAGAGAUGGACCCGCGGUGCAUUAGCUAGUUGGUAGGGUAAAGGCCUACCAAGGCGAUGAUGCAUAGCCGACCUGAGAGGGUGAUCGGCCACAUUGGGACUGAGACACGGCCCAA